rnacentral:lncRNA from 1 species
AUUCUUUCUCCAGAAAGGAUAACAAACCUUUUGUUUGAGAGAGAUUUUUCACUUUUUGAAAUGGUCUGUUUGUUUGAAGUUACAGAAGAAAAAUAAGUGUAAUGCACAGUUGUAUUUAUUAUUCAUGUGACCCUGGAAACAUUUCUUCCCCGCCCUGUGUUUCAGUUUCUUCAUCUGUAAAAUGAGGUUAAUAAUGGUUCCCCCUUCUAAUGUUGUUUUUGAAGAUUACAUGAGUUAAUACAUGUAAAUUGCUUAGAACAGUGCCUAGCACCUAAUAUAAUGGAAGUGUUGCCUACUGCCUAUUGGCAGUUUUCUGUACGGCUUCACCUUCCCUUAGGACUUCUUGUCAGCCCAGUUAUGUGAUUUUUCACCUCGUUUUUGUUUAGGAGACUCUACUUUGUUGAUGUUUUUCUGAGAAACAAUGUGCUGUCUGUUUUUCUCUGUUUCCUUUGACAUUUGCUGUUCAUCUUUCACUGAAUAUUUGUUUAAGAAAGACAUACAGAAUGUUAAUUUUCAUUGAUUGUAGCUUUCUUCUUUUUAAGGAUUUGGAAUGCCCUGACAGAUAAUUAUGGGAAUGUGAUGCCUGUAGACUGGAAGUCAUCGCAUACUAGGACCUUGCACUUGCUUACUCUGAACCUCUCAGAAAAAGGGGUAAGUUAGGAAUUGAACCAAUAGUGUUUGAAUAACUGAUGCUGAUAAUAGAACUAAAACAGUAGCAUUUCUGCUUAACACAGAUUCACUGACCUGCCUCUCAUUUCUGAAAUUAUAGCAGUUUGGGUGGCUCUGUCUUGAUGUCUUGGCUGUAGGGCCAUCACCUUGCUGGCACAUUCCUCCAGUUCUUCUCCAGCACACUCAUUUUUUAUGUGUAGCUAAAUUUCCAUCACAAUUUUUUUUUUUUUGACGGAGUCUCACUCUGUUGCCCAGGCUGGAGUACAGUGGCUUACUACAACCUCUGCCUCCUGGGUUCAAGCGAUUCUCCCACCUCAAACUCCCGAGUAGCUGGGAUUACAGGCAUGAGCCACCAGUCCCGGCUAAUUUUUGUAUUUUCAGUAGAGACAGGGUUUCGCUGUGUUGGCCAGGCUGGUCUCGAACUCCUGACCUCAGGUAAUUCACCUCCCAGAGUGCUGGGAUUACAGGUGUGAGCCACUGCACCUGGCAGUGAUGAUGCACUGAAACACUCAGUAAAAUUUGGUGCACUGAAACCCUCAGUAAAAAUGCUAGCCUUUGGUUUAAUAUACUGAGAGUAUUGGAAUCUCAACACGGAGUUAACUUUUUAAUGAGUGUAGUGACCUGCUAGACAUGAUAUGUUGUCAGGAGACUGUGUAUUCCUGUGAAUACUGGAGAACCUUUAAAAGAUAUUUUAGUUCUUGGCUUUUAAAAUACGGUCUUGGCUAACUUACCUUUCUUGGGGUCUCCUGUGUACAUCCUGGUAUUGUAAAGUGAAGAUGUCUUGACUAAGAAGUGUGAGCACGAGUGGUGGGACAGGUAGGGAGGCAGAAAAGGGUUGAGAAUUACUUGAAAUGGAAAAUCACAGUGUUAAGCUUUUUUAAAUCUGAUGAGAAACAUAUCCAAAUUAUCUAAGUUUCAGGGCCUGGCUGUUUAAGUUCCUUAUCAAAUAAUAAUGUAAACUCAUGCCAGAUCUUCUUGCGUGCUCUAUAUUUCAUUAAGUGUAAUUAUGUGAUUAUUGAGAAUAUAGUGCAGUAGGCCUGUCACUAUUUUACAUAGUAUUGUUAAUGUUUUGUUAAAAGGAUUUUCUUACAUAUGUGAUCAGAAAAGCCUACUGUUAUUAUUUUCUAGUAAAAUGUAGAAUUCUGGCUGUAUUUCCCAGUAUUCAGUAGCUAUGGAAAUCUUCCUGACUGUGCCAGUCAUUAAUCCCAUUAAGCUUUGCAGACUGACCUGGCAUAUAUUUAAUG